UACGGGGGGGGGCAAGCGUUGUUCGGAAUUACUGGGCGUAAAGGGCUCGUAGGCGGCCAACUAAGUCAGACGUGAAAUCCCUCGGCUUAACCGGGGGAACUGCGUCUGAUACUGGAUGGCUUGAGGUUGGGAGAGGGAUGCGGAAUUCCAGGUGUAGCGGUGAAAUGCGUAGAUAUCUGGAGGAACACCGGUGGCGAAGGCGGCAUCCUGGACCAAUUCUGACGCUGAGGAGCGAAAGCCAGGGGAGCAAACGGGG
rnacentral:rRNA from 1 species